AAUGAACGUUGGCGGCGUGGAUUAGGCAUGCAAGUCGUACGCAUAGCUUCGGCUAUGAGUGGUGCAAGGUGAGUAAUGCGAAGGUAACCAACCCUGGUGUUGGGCAUAGCCGCGGGAAACUGCGGGUAAUUCCCAGCGACGUCACGAGAUGGCAUCAUCUUGUGACCAAAAGGUGUGAUUCCGCUCUAGGACGGGCCUUCGUGGUAUUAGGUAGUUGGUGAGGUAACGGCUCACCAAGCCGACGAUGCCUACCGGGUGUGAGAGCAUGACCCGGCACACUGGAACUGAGACACUGUCCAGACACCUACGGGUGGCUGCAGUCGAGAAUCUUCGGCAAUGGGCGAAAGCCUGACCGAGCGACGCCGCGUGAGGGAUUGAAGGCC
rnacentral:rRNA from 1 species